CACUGUCAAGGCCACUAUUAUAGAGGCUAGGCUACUUCUAAAAAACCAGUUGAGAAUGCAACGUGAUCUGAUGUAACGCCUUGAAAAAUCCAAGCCUAUACUAAAAUCAUACUUCAAGUACAUGUAGGGUAAAUCAUCAAGUUUUAAUAGUAUGAAGGGGAAUCUGACCAUGUACCAAUGCCACAAGAACACCUAGCCUUUAAUGAAGCCAAAUGCCAAAAUCUCUUUUAC
rnacentral:lncRNA from 1 species